AACGAACGCUGGCGGCAUGCCUAACACAUGCAAGUCGAACGAGAUCUUCGGGUCUAGUGGCGCACGGGUGCGUAACGCGUGGGAAUCUGCCCUUUGGUUCGGAAUAACAGUUGGAAACGACUGCUAAUACCGGAUGAUGACGAAAGCCCAAAGAUUUAUCGCCAGAGGAUGAGCCCGCGUAGGAUUAGCUAGUUGGUGUGGUAAAGGCGCACCAAGGCGACGAUCCUUAGCUGGUCUGAGAGGAUGAUCAGCCACACUGGGACUGAGACACGGCCCAGACUCCUACGGGAGGCAGCAGUGGGGAAUAUUGGGCAAUGAGCGAAAGCCUGAUCCAGCAAUGCCGCGUGAGUGAUGAAGGCCUUAGGGUUGUAAAGCUCUUUUACCCGGGAUGAUAAUGACAGUACCGGGAGAAUAAGCUCCGGCUAACUCCGUGCCAGCCGCCGCCGUAA
rnacentral:rRNA from 1 species